rnacentral:rRNA from 1 species
AGGUGAAUCAAGUAACUGGGGUGAAGUCGUAACAAGGUAGCCGUAUCGGAAGGUGCGGCUGGAUCACCUCCUUUCUAAGGAA